rnacentral:rRNA from 1 species
UACGGAGGGUGCAAGCAUUAAUCGGAUUUAUUGGGCGUAAAGGGCGCGUAGGCGGGGAUGUAAGGCAGACGUGAAAUCCCGGGGCUCAACCUCGGAACAGCAUUUGAAACUAUAUCUCUUGAGGGUAGGCGGAGAAAACGGAAUUCCACAAGUAGCGGUGAAAUGCGUAGAUAUGUGGAAGAACACCGGUGGCGAAGGCGGUUUUCUAGCUUAUUCCUGACGCUAAAGCGCGAAAGCAAGGGGAUCAAACAGG